rnacentral:rRNA from 1 species
AGAGUUUGAUCCUGGCUCAGGAUGAACGCUGGCGGCGUGCUUAACACAUGCAAGUCGAACGAAGCACUUCAAAAGCUUGCUUUUGAAGUGACUGAGUGGCGGACGGGUGAGUAACGCGUGGGUAACCUGCCUUAUACAGGGGGAUAACAGUUGGAAACGACUGCUAAUACCGCAUAAGCGCACAGUGCCGCAUGGCACAGUGUGAAAAACUCCGGUGGUAUAAGAUGGACCCGCGUCUGAUUAGCUAGUUGGUGAGGUAACGGCUCACCAAGGCGACGAUCAGUAGCCGGCUUGAGAGAGUGAUCGGCCACAUUGGGACUGAGACACGGCCCAAACUCCUACGGGAGGCAGCAGUGGGGAAUAUUGCACAAUGGGGGAAACCCUGAUGCAGCAACGCCGCGUGAGUGAAGAAGUAUUUCGGUAUGUAAAGCUCUAUCAGCAGGGAAGAUAAUGACGGUACCUGACUAAGAAGCCCCGGCUAACUACGUGCCAGCAGCCGCGGUAAUACGUAGGGGGCAAGCGUUAUCCGGAUUUACUGGGUGUAAAGGGAGCGUAGGCGGCUUGGCAAGUCUGAUGUGAAAGCCCAGGGCUCAACCCUGGGACUGCAUUGGAAACUGUCAGGCUAGAGUGCAGGAGAGGUAAGUGGAAUUCCUAGUGUAGCGGUGAAAUGCGUAGAUAUUAGGAGGAACACCAGUGGCGAAGGCGGCUUACUGGACUGUAACUGACGCUGAGGCUCGAAAGUGUGGGGAGCAAACAGGAUUAGAUACCCUGGUAGUCCACACUGUAAACGAUGAUUGCUAGGUGUGGGGGGUCUGACCCCCUCCGUGCCGGAGUUAACGCAAUAAGCAAUCCACCUGGGGAGUACGGCCGCAAGGUUGAAACUCAAAGGAAUUGACGGGGGCCCGCACAAGCAGUGGAUUAUGUGGUUUAAUUCGAAGCAACGCGAAGAACCUUACCAGGUCUUGACAUCCGACUAACGAGAUAGAGAUAUGUCAGGUGCCCUUCGGGGAAAGUCGAGACAGGUGGUGCAUGGUUGUCGUCAGCUCGUGUCGUGAGAUGUUGGGUUAAGUCCCGCAACGAGCGCAACCCCUGCCAUUAGUUGCCAGCAUUCAGUUGGGGACUCUAAUGAGACUGCCAGUGACAAACUGGAGGAAGGUGGGGAUGACGUCAAAUCAUCAUGCCCCUUAUGACCUGGGCCUCACACGUACUACAAUGGCUGCAAACAAAGGGAAGCGAAGCAGUGAUGCGGAGCAAAUCCCCAAAAGCAGUCUUAGUUCGGAUUGUAGGCUGCAACUCGCCUACAUGAAGUCGGAAUUGCUAGUAAUCGUAGAUCAGCAUGCUACGGUGAAUACGUUCCCGGGCCUUGCACACACCGCCCGUCA